CUAUUUUGUCACCACAGUCGACUAGUAUUGCUCUAAGGCGGAACAUUAAUCUGAAGCUUCGAAACUUCUGAAGGGGAAAAGAUACAGGGUAAAGUUAUCGAAAGACUCUGGCCCAUGAGCUGGCAGAAGAGAGCUUGCAAAAACUGCUACCUUCGUUUUAGCACUAGACCAACGGACUGUUGCUUUCCAGAUGAAAAAUGUAUGUGGAGUGGAAAAUGUGGACCGAAGUGAACGCAACUAGAAGAAAUUACAGAGAUGUUGUGGAGUUCUAAAAGGUGUUCAAAGAUGUGACUUCAUAUGCUACUUAAGUCAGAAACUCUUUGUAAUCAGCAGCAUUUUUGUAGAACAUAGAAUGAUAAUCAACUCCACUGAUCUGUGAAAUAAAGCAUCUGCUUCUUGGCAUUA